rnacentral:miRNA from 1 species
GGGUGACCAAAAUGCUGGUUGGCCUGGGACUGAGGGGUUUCCCAGAAAGAGGGCCAUGUGGU